UUGCUUCAGCAGCAAAUAUACUAAAAUUGGAACAAUACAGAGAAGAUAACCAUGGCCCCUGCACGAGGAUGACAUGCAAAUUCAGCAAGCAUUCCAUAUUUUU
ensembl:snRNA U6 U6 spliceosomal RNA